AACGAACGCUGGCGGCAGGCUUAACACAUGCAAGUCGAACGCAUCGCAAGAUGAGUGGCAGACGGGUGAGUAACGCGUGGGAACAUACCCUUUUCUACGGAAUAGCUCUGGGAAACUGGAAUUAAUACCGUAUACGCCCUACGGGGGAAAGAUUUAUCGGGGAAGGAUUGGCCCGCGUUGGAUUAGCUAGUUGGUGGGGUAAAGGCCUACCAAGGCGACGAUCUAUAGCUGGUCUGAGAGGAUGAUCAGCCACAUUGGGACUGAGACACGGCCCAAACUCCUACGGGAGGCAGCAGUGGGGAAUAUUGGACAAUGGGCGCAAGCCUGAACCAGCCAUGCCGCGUGAGUGAUGAAGGCCUUAGGGUUGUAAAGCUCUUUCACCGAUGAAGAUAAUGACGGUAGUCGGAGAAGAAGCCCCGGCUAACUUCGUGCCAGCCGCCGCUGUAAGAC
rnacentral:rRNA from 1 species